rnacentral:rRNA from 1 species
GACGAACGCUGGCGGCGUGCUUAACACAUGCAAGUCGAACGAAGUGGCGAACGGGUGAGUAACGCGUAAUCAACCUGCCCUUCAGAGGGGGACAACAGUUGGAAACGACUGCUAAUACCGCAUACUGAAGGUGGGGAUUGCGUUGGAUUAGCUAGUUGGGGGGGUAACGGCCGACCAAGGCAAUGAUCAGUAGCCGGUCUGGGAGGAUGAACGGCCAGAUUGGGACUGAGACACGGGCCAUACUGCUACGGUACGCAGCAGUGGGGAAUCUUCCGCAAUGGACGAAAGUCUGACGGAGCAACGCCGCGUGAGUGAUGACGGCGUUCGAGUUGUAAAGCUCUGUUAAGCGGGACGCGGUACCGGAAUAGAAAGCCACGGCUAACUACGUGCCAGCAGCCGCGGUAAUAC